rnacentral:piRNA from 2 species
UCCUGAUCUUGCUGGAAUCGGGCUCCCAGA